ACUGAGUGCUUGCACUUGGUCAAGGUGAGUGGCGAACGGGUGAGUAACACGUGGGUAACCUACCUCAUAGUGGGGGAUAACAGUCGGAAACGACUGCUAAUACCGCAUAGGACAUGGGAUCACAUGAUUCUGUGAGGAAAGGUGGCGCAAGCUAUCGCUAAGAGAUGGACCCGCGGUGCAUUAGCUAGUUGGUAGGGUAACGGCCUACCAAGGCAAUGAUGCAUAGCCGACCUGAGAGGGUGAUCGGCCACAUUGGGACUGAGACACGGCCCAAACUCCUACGGGAGGCAGCAGUAGGGAAUCUUCCGCAAUGGACGCAAGUCUGACGGAGCAACGCCGCGUGAGUGAAGAAGGUCUUCGGAUCGUAAAGCUCUGUUGUUAGAGAAGAACAGCGCAUAGAGUAACUGUUAUGCGUGUGACGGUAUCUAACCAGAAAGCCACGGCUAACUACGUGCCAGCAGCCGCGGUAAUACGUAGGUGGCGAGCGUUGUCCGGAUUUAUUGGGCGUAAAGGGAGUGUAGGCGGUCUUUUAAGUCUGAUGUGAAAGCCCACGGCUCAACCGUGGAGGGUCAUUGGAAACUGGGAGACUUGAGUGCAGAAGAGGAGAGCGGAAUUCCAUGUGUAGCGGUGAAAUGCGUAGAUAUAUGGAGGAACACCAGUGGCGAAGGCGGCUCUCUGGUCUGUAACUGACGCUGAGGCUCGAAAGCGUGGGGAGCAAACAGGAUUAGAUACCCUGGUAGUCCACGCCGUAAACGAUGAGUGCUAAGUGUUGGAGGGGUUCCACCCUUCAGUGCUGGAGUUAACGCAAUAAGCACUCC
rnacentral:rRNA from 1 species